rnacentral:tRNA from 1 species
UGGAUCACCUCCUAACAGGGAGACAACAAAAUGUUUAAUAUUAUUAUUUUGUCACCUUAGGUCGAUCGGUAUCUCACAUCCUUAAUUUAUUGAGGAUUUCAUUUCCUAAGUUUUUCUAGGUCACACCCAUUAUUUUUCCUGGGCCAUUAGCUCAGGUGGUUAGAGCGCACCCCUGAUAAGGGUGAGGUCCCUGGUUCAAGUCCAGGAUGGCCCAUAUCUCUAUGUUGGGGGUAUAGCUCAGUUGGUAGAGCGCCUGCUUUGCAAGCAGGAUGUCAGCGGUUCGAGUCCGCUUACCUCCACUGAUUACCACCUCUUCCAUAACUUACAGAAAGGAAAUGUUUUGAGUUGUGAUCAAAUUCUGAACGAAUCUAGCUUCCUAAUGAAAUCAUUAAGAUGCUGGACUCAUUGAAUUAAUUUCAUUGUUUUCAGAGAACCUUGACAACUGCAUAGAUUAUUUUUAAAGACAAUAAGCAUCUUUAUUGAUGCAGAUUUAUUAUUUGUGCGAAUGCAUUAAUAACAAUUCUAUUAAGCUGAUGCUUCAAUUUUUGAAGUUAUUGGUCAAGCUACAAAGGGCUCACGGAGGAUACCUAGGCACACAGAGGCGAUGAAGG